rnacentral:rRNA from 1 species
GACGAACGCUGGCGGCGUGCUUAACACAUGCAAGUCGAACGGAAAGGCCCUGCUUUUGUGGGGUGCUCGGGUGGCGAACGUGGGAGUAGCACGUGAGUAACCUGCCCUUGACUUUGGGAUAACUUCAGGAAACUGGGGCUAAUACCGCUAAUGAGCUCCUGCUGCAUGGUGUGGGUUGGAAAGUUUCGGCGGUUGGGGAUGGACUUGGGGCUUAUCUGGCUGUCUGUGGGGUAGUUGCUUACGAAGUCUUUGACGGGUAGCCGGCCUGGGAGCGGGACCGGCCACACGGGGACUGAGAUAAGGCCAAGACGCAGACGGGAGGCAGCAGUGGGGAAUAUUGGACAGUGGGAGGAAGGCUGAGGCAGCAACGACGGGUGCGGGGUGACGGCCUUCGGGUUGUAACCAGGUUUCGACUGGGACGAAGCGUGAGUGACGGUAAUGGGUAAAGAAGCACCGGCUAACUACGUG